rnacentral:rRNA from 1 species
GAUCCAGACUCCUACGGGAGGCAGCAGUGAGGAAUAUUGGUCAAUGGGCUAAGGCCUGAACCAGCCAAGUCGCGUGAGGGAAGACGGUCCUAUGGAUUGUAAACCUCUUUUGUCGGGGAGCAACGAGGCCACGUGUGGCCGAAGUGAGAGUACCCGAAGAAAAAGCAUCGGCUAACUACGUGCCAGCAGCCGCGGUAAUACGUAGGUGGCAAGCGUUAUCCGGAUUUACUGGGUGUAAAGGGCGUGUAGGCGGGACUGCAAGUCAGAUGUGAAAACCAUGGGCUCAACCUGUGGCCUGCAUUUGAAACUGUAGUUCUUGAGUACUGGAGAGGCAGACGGAAUUCCUAGUGUAGCGGUGAAAUGCGUAGAUAUUAGGAGGAACACCAGUGGCGAAGGCGGUCUGCUGGACAGCAACUGACGCUGAGGCGCGAAAGCGUGGGGAGCAAACAGGAUUAGAUGCCCGCGUAGAU